UACGGGGGGGGCAAGCGUUGUUCGGAAUUACUGGGCGUAAAGGGCUCGUAGGCGGCCAACUAAGUCGGACGUGAAAUCCCUCGGCUUAACCGGGGAACUGCGUCCGAUACUGGAUGGCUUGAGUUUGGGAGAGGGAUGCGGAAUUCCAGGUGUAGCGGUGAAAUGCGUAGAUAUCUGGAGGAACACCAAUGGCGAAGGCAGCUCGCUGGGACGGUACUGACGCUGAGACGCGAAAGCGUGGGGAGCAAACAGG
rnacentral:rRNA from 1 species